rnacentral:lncRNA from 1 species
CGAAACCCAUAGUGCAUUUUUUUCUCAAAAAGUAUUCAUAUGAAAAAUCGGAAUUGUAAUUUUCUCAUGCUAAAAUUGAUUUUGUAGUGGAUCAUUACCACAUCCUUUUGAUUCGAAUUCACAAAUUGCUAGAUUUAGGUGUAGAAUCAGCAUAACAACGAAAAAUUUUCGCACUCACACCAUGUUAAAAUUGGAGAAAUUUUUUCUCCAAAUCCUCUUUUGCAGUUUACUUUUACUCUCAAAGUUAAUUGAGCUUUUGGGUUGAGCAAGGUUUUUCAUCCCUGAAGCUGGCACAACUUUUUCAUCUAGAUGGGGAGAUUGAUACCAUUAACCAUUUUGUUUGUUAUUAUUUCCAUCACGUGCUUGAUGAAAUUGCUAACAAGGGUUUCCGGUAAGGUUUGAUAGCCUUUUGUCUUUUAUCAUGCAAAUACUGACUCGUCAGAUAUAUAUCUACUGAUUAGAGAUAUUUACUCUACUGAUUCUCUGCCAUUGUUUGUUUUAACUUUAGUCGAGUGAGAUAAUUUAUGAAUAUUAGAUUUCUAGUUAAAUGUAAAGUCCAGAGGAAUAUAAAACUCGCCAGUGACACUAUGUCAGCGUCUCUCGAGUGCUCUGCCACGCCGAGUAAGGGCUUUCCAUUCUUAUCCUAACCCUCCAAAUAAAAUUCUUUAGUUGCUUCACUGGAUCUCAACCUUUUCAGCUAAUGCUUUGACAUGAAAGAACGAGCAGACGACUAGCAAUUGGUAAUCAGAUUGCAUGUAUUUCAGGUCACAAAAUCGGAAAUUUCUGAGAAUAACGAGAACACAAUUCUUGGGUCUUUCAAGAAGAAGGCAAUUGAUGCCUCCUCAAAGUUCUGACAAUCUUUGACCAGGAGGAGGAGGAGGAGGAGCAGCAGCAAAGUUAAAGUUAUAUGUGUAGUAUUCGAGGAUGAACAUGACCCGGAGGAACUGAAGUCUCGAUGCCUAGCGUCAAGAACUUAUCCUGAAAGAGUUACUGCCUGAAAAACACGAUGACUACCAUAUGAUGCUAAGGUAACCUUCUUCUUGCUUACACGGUCUCCAAGAUUCUUUACUGCCGGUGUUCUGGUAUAAACUGGUCUGCAACUAUAACUAGAACAGUUAUGGUUUUGAGAUGGAUGCAAUCAUUGCAAUGUACACACCUUUUUAGUUCAAUAGAAGCAAUUUAAAUCGCACAAGGAGUGCAAAUUUUAAUUAUCUAUUGCUUGGUGAAUACCUUGAGAAUUGAGAUUUGCAGUUUGAGAAACUGUAUUCUUUUUACUCGAGCUUGUAUAGAUUAUAAGCCUAAUUAUUUUUAAGUUUUAAUACCAUUGCUAAAGAAAACUUCUCGAGUUUGAAGAUUAGGUUGUUAUUUGCUUAUGCUGCAGAAUUUGUAUGCAAUGAAGAAACUUUUCAUGUAGAUUUUUAUUUUGUCCAUAAAUCACAUUCUUCACAAUGACGCCAAAGACUUUAGUUCUAAAAGAUAAGAAAACUGCA